UCUGGCAGAGCGUGGGUAGAAAAGGAGGCCUGGGCAGCCCAACCCCACUGUGGGCUCAGGGGCUGUGUGCACCAUGGCCUGGACCCCUCUCCUCCUCGUGCUCCUCUCUCACUGCACAGGUUCCCUCUCCCAGCCUGUGGUGACUCAGCCGUCCUCCCUCUCUGCAUCUCCGGGAGCCACAGCCAGACUCACCUGCACCCUCAGCAGUGGCUCCAGUGUUGGCAGCUACUACAUACACUGGUUCCAGCAGAAGCCAGGGAACCCUCCCAGGUAUCUGCUGUAUUACUACUCAGACUCAAAAAAGCAUCAGGGCUCCGGGGUCCCCAGCCGCUUCUCUGGAUCCAAGGACACCUCAGCCAAUGCAGGGCUCCUGACCAUCUCUGGGCUGCAGCCUGAGGACGAGGCCGACUAUCACUGUAUGAGUUGGUACAGUGGUACUCCUCACAGUGACACACACAGAUGGGGAAAUGAGACAAAAACCUCAGCCUAACACAGUUUUCUUUCAAGACACUGGAACAUUUUUUAGUAAUUGUGUGUAUGUAAACUGUA